rnacentral:rRNA from 1 species
AAUGAACGUUGGCGGCGUGGAUUAGGCAUGCGAGUCGUGCGAUAAUCGUAGCAAUACGAGGAAAGCGGCGGAAGGGAGAGGACUACGUGGGAAUCUACCUCUAGACCUGGGAUAGCGGCGGGAAACUGCCGGUAAUACCAGAUAAUGUUUUCGGACCAAAGGUGUGAUUCCGUCUAGAGAUGAGCCCACGUCCUAUUAGCUUGUUGGUGGGGUAAUGGCCGACCAAGGCAAUGAUGGGUAGCGGGUGUGGGAGCAUGACCCGCCUCACUGGGACUGAGAACGGCCCAGACACCUACGGGUGGCUGCAGUCGAGAAGCUUCGGCAAUGGACGAAAGUCUGACCGAGCGACGCCGCGUGCGGGAUGAAGGCCUUCGGGUUGUAAACCGCUGUCGUAGGGGAGCAAGAGAUGAGGGUUCUCCCUCAAAUUUGAGCGGUCCUAGGAGGAAGGAGAGGCUAAGCUCGUGCCAGCAGCCGCCGUAACAC